UACGGAGGAUGCAAGCGUUAUCCGGAAUUAUUGGGCGUAAAGCGUCCGCAGGUGGUUUUGAAAGUUUGCUGUCAAAGCGCGGAGCUUAACUUCGUACCGGCAGUGAAAACUACAAGACUAGAGUUUGGUAGGGGUCACGGGAAUUCCCAGUGUAGCGGUGAAAUGCGUAGAGAUCAGGAAGAACAUCGGUGGCGAAGGCGCUCUGCUGGACCAUAACUGACACUCAGGGACGAAAGCUAGGGGAGCGAAUGGG
rnacentral:rRNA from 1 species